rnacentral:lncRNA from 1 species
AUGGCAGGAAGCGGCAGGCCUCCAGCGAGCCGUGAUCCAAGCAGAACCUCGCCGAGCGUCGCCGGGGAUGAGACCCACACCACCCAAUGGCCUUCACACAGUCUCAGCCAGAGCUCUGAGACGCCCUCAUCGCCACAUACGGAAGACGGGAUCCUCCCCCCAAACUCAGGUCUGACAUCCACCGCGCCACCACCGCCGUCAUCCUCUUCAUCUUCAUCGUCACAGUCUUCAUCGGCUCCACCCACCUCCUCUGCGUUGCCGCCUUUUGCGGCUCCUCCUUCGCCUCCUGCUGCGUGGAUGAAGAAAGCGGUGUCAUCUCCAGGUCCAAGGACAGAAGCAGCGACAGGUUCUGUGGGCUGGUCAGACCGCCGGACGACCGCCCAGUCCAGCGGUCCCUCUGACCCACCAGCUGUUACCCCGGGACUAGAACCCAGCACUGAAGUGACAAACCUUCACUUUUACAGUCAACACCUUCAUCAGCAUUUAAACGAAGCCGCUCAGAACCAGCGCCCAGGUAAUGCAGAAAUGAGCCCCUCCGGUCAAGAAGGUCGGGAUGCUGAGAGGCAGCAGGCUUCAGCCGCUCCCACAGCAGCUCUGCAGUCGCACACCUUAAAUCACACGGCCCGUAUGGAAGCGGAAGGCCGGGCAGCGGCCGCCAGCCGAGCUUAUGUUCACAGAACCACCGGGGAUACAAUCGCGCCGCCCCUGGCUUCACAUGCUGUAAAUCCAGACGCAUCACCAGCAAUAAUGUUGAGGCCGCCCGGCUCAUUUGUUACGGUUUCCCCCGACCCGCCACCAGGUAGAGCGUCUUUCUUCGAAUUGGCAAUAACUAAGCUAGCGCCCGUCCGCUUCGGCACGCCGCCCUCAGCGCAUGCAUCUAAUCCCGGUGAUUUACUGACGGCAGCGGGUCACGACAGCCCCAGAGUCUCUGCCAUCAAUAUGAAUCACAGCCGGGGAGUGGCAGCGGCAGACGAGCCCCGGCCUAUUUCCACUCCAGCUCACCGGAAUCACUCACUUUCACUCACUCAGACGAGGCCCCAGUCCGCCGGUGUUCCCCUCCUCAGGUCCAGCACCGCGGCGAAAACCGCCCCCCACGCGCCAGAUUCAGGUUCACCCGGUUUUACGAGAAACUAUCAAGGUUUCGGAUCACAAACCGAGAUGCCGACGCGCACAAGUCAGGUGCCAGCGGUACUUUCAACUAAAAUUAAGACGAUUUAUCUUUCUGGUUCAGCAAAUGAUAAAAGCUAUAAAACCAGUCCAGCCAGAACUUAUUUAUUUCCCUCAUCUGUCAGCCACCGUCCACACCAUCACUCUGCUGACAGCGCUGGCCUUUCUGCCUAUAGUCAGGUCACAUUUGCAGAGCGGUCGCCGUCCACACCAUCUCCCCUGGUUUCCCACAUUCUUAAUACGCCAUCUACUAGAUCUCAACGGGCCGAGCCGCCGGCUGUUUCCGCUGGUCACAGCGUUCAUUCCACUGCUGAUGUGGAAACAAGCGAAGGAAACGAGCGAACGCCGGCGUCUGCUAGCGUUCACAUGUCACGUGGAGCGAAGGCUGCUGGGAGCUUCCAUGCUAAUCCUCUCACAACACAGUUUCCAGGUGUCAUCACUACAAAAGGCGUCUUUACGCUAAAUGGCUCUGAAAGGUCUCCUAAUGAGAAGCGUUUUACUCCAGCGACUUCCGGCGCGGCGUUCGCGGGCGGUUAUGAGCGGUCGCCUGCUUCCUCCUGGUCAGAAAUCAUCAGGGCUGCUUCCAGCUCACAGGGUCCAAUCACUAGCAUGAGCGGUGGUGGAUCUGGUGGAGAGAGUGUUACUGACACACUGAGGGCUAUUUUCAGCUUUGGCACCAAACCAACGGCGCCCGAUACAAAGUGGAAAGCCACCAGGCCGGCGGCUUUUCAAAGCAAGGCCUUUGAAUCACAAAACACAUCCACCGGCUUUGAUGGGGCAAAUUCCAAUUCCGCAGCAGAUGGCCCAUCUGCUGAACAUUCAACGCUGGGCCGCGAACAAGAGCGCAAUGUUCUCAUGCUGGAUUCAAGCGAUCCGGCGCUCGUCACCCGCGUCCCACAUUGGGGGCGUCCAACCGUAGGAGAGUGCCCUUCUUCCGCGUAUGCUAAAGGAUCGGCGUCUGAAGAGCGGACUGCGAGUUUAGCUCCAGCGAAUCACGGAGGAGCCACCGGAAACCCCCCUGCUGCCGCCCCGCGGGGCUCCGGAGGGUUCCUGCCCCCCUCUCGAGUUGCCACCGACCCUGUCAUGCUUUCCUCCUCCACCUUGACCGCUCCUGAGGCGAACAGGGUGGCCGCACAUGAAUCACCAUUACCAUCAUCAUCAUCAUCAUCGUCAUCAUCAUCAUCAUCAUCAAAAGCCCUCUCACACACCACCCACACGUUUGUUGUCCCCACAGAGGCGGAUGAGGCGACGUCCAGAGCAGUCGCCCUCACCUUCCCCAAAGACAAGGAGGCCGGUCUGGUCCCCUCUGAUCGGGGCAGAACUACGCUUUCUGCCGGGCCCACGGAGAGGACAUCUCAGGUAGCACCCAUGUCCCCUCGGCAGGACACCACGACGGCCUCUGUGAAGCUCGCCACCACAACUGUAGAUCCAACCGCCGCCACCCGAAGCGCUACCACUCGCAUGCCUUCCUCCAGCGUGAGCACCACCACCACAGCGCAGCCCGGCCCGGUGACCAGGAGAACCACCACCAGCGCCGCCGCCACCGCCAGGACCCAAACCGGCCGGAGGACGUUCACGCCGCCCGCGCCGAGGACGACCCCCCCCCGAGGCGCCGCCACCACCGUGGUGUCUCCCUUCACCACCACCACGGAGGUCCCGCCACAGCAGUGCAACAUCACCGAGCGAAUGUGGGUGAAAACAGGUACAGUGAAGGUGCUUCAGUGGCAGCAGCAGGAUGAAUGA